AAUUUGAAAUCUGGCGUCAUUCUGACGUCCGAGUUGUAAUUUGGAGGGGUAUCUUCGGAAGCGGCACCGUCCUAUGUUCCUUGGAACAGGACGUCACAGAGGGUGAGAAUCCCGUGCUUGGGCGGUUGUUCCGUUUUCCAUGUGAAGUGCCUCCGACGAGUCGAGUUGUUUGGGAAUGCAGCUCAAAAUGGGUGGUAAACUUCAUCUAAAGCUAAAUACAAGCGAGAGACCGAUAGCGCACAAGUAGAGUGAUCGAAAGAUGAAAAGAACUUUGAAAAGAGAGUUAAAAAGUACGUGAAAUUGUUGAAAGGGAAGCGCUUGAAAUCAAACGCGGUAUUGGUGAUCAGCUGGGCUUUAUGCCCAGUGCACUUGCCUUUGACUGGGUCAGCAUCGGUUCUGACGGUGGGAAAAGUGGCUAGGGAAUGUGGCUCUUCUUCGGGGGAGUGUUUAUAGACUUGGUCAUCUUAAUACUGCCAGUUGGGACCGAGGACCGCGUCCAUUUUUUGGGCUAGGAUGCUGA
rnacentral:rRNA from 1 species